AAACUUCCAAUGUAUUAGUUAAGCUAGGAACAUUUUAGGAGGAACUUGAAAGUGGUGUACUGUUUGUUUAUAUCAUUCCUUCUCUCUCCUUUCCCCCCCCACCCCUCUUUUUUCUUCUCUUCAGAUUGCAUUUUAAAUCAAAAUGUUCUCCAUGACUGACUGCUUUGCAGCACUAGGAAAGGCAGGUUUGCCUAUCUCCGAGAGAAGAUCGGUCGGGGCUGUUUUCUGAAGAAGCCUAGAGGUAAAGAGGCAUCCAUACAUUCACACAGGAGGAUUCAUAAAGGCAAGGACGAGAAGAUAAAGGUAUUAUUUUGACAUGAUGACCCCUGGAAAAUGUCUUUGACUCAUCCCAAGUUGUUGCCACUUUUGCUGCCUUUGCCUCUCAGAAGUUGAAUAAAUGCUCUGGCCCCUUUCAAAUAUUUUCUCAUCUGCGCUGAAUUUCUACCGACAAAUCAACUGAUAGAUACGGACCCAAGAAAAAAUUAUUAUCAUUGAGGGUGCCUUGAUCCAUAGAAGAACAAGCAGAAUUCAAGGAUUGCAGGAAGAAAGUUAUUCAGAAUCUGUGAACAGAGGAAUGAAAGGGGCAAUCAGAAGAGAGGACAAAAAUAUAUCUGACAUGUUUUCUUCCUGGCCAAGGUAAAUAAAAUCUCCAUUUUUUUUUUUUUUUUAAUGUAAGAUAAGAAAUAUUGAAAAGAAUGUCACAAGUUACAGGUAAGUAUAGAAAUUCCCUUGGGAUGGGCUCUUACACAAAAUAUGUACAGUUCACUAGUAACAAAAAUCAGAUAGCCUGUAUUUAUUUUUAAUAAAAUAAUAGAAUCAUGAAAUUAUAGAAUCAUUCAGGCUGGAAAAGACCUCCAAGAUCAUCUAGUCCAACCUUUACACAAACCAUCCACAAUACCCCCUCAUAAACAUAUAUUUGUGUAUGUUUGUGCAGCUGUAAAUAGGCAUGUGAUUGUGUACAUACAUGUGGGCAUGCAUAUAUACCUAAAAUAAAAGCCCAGUGUGCAUCAAAUGAAAAACAAAACGAGCUGCAAAAUUAUUUAAGGAAAAAAGUGAUGAAAGUGGGCUAAAGCUGGGGUAGCAGUAUGGUGAGGAGCUAUCCCAUUGCUUGGAAAUAUCCAGAAACCUUCUUAAACAUUUAUCAGCAACUUUUCUAACUUUAGGAGAAGGGCUGGGAGCGCCCCAAAACCAUGAUUCUUCAGGAUAUUCCUGUCAGGCAGGAAACCUUGUGAGAGCAGCAUUGCUUGCUCUCUGUUCUGCUUCCAGCUCCAGAAAGCACACAGAUAAGGAGAAAAAUCAAAAUAAUUGAAUAUAUACAAGACAUCCACAUUUGUAUAAACAACAAGCUUUGAAAUGGGAAAAAUGAAUCGGGUCUUAAUUUUUUACGAUUUCUUUUUCUCAAACUAAAAAAAAAAAGAAGAAGAAAAAGUCAGGCAGUUCUUAUUUUAUCCAGACCAGUUCAUAAAUCCCAAGUCAUAAAUCCACAUGAUAUCCCGGGCUGCUGGAUUUUGCAUUUGGAGCUCUGAAAGACUGAUAGCUGAAAGAUUUAUAAAAUCCCAGGUAGCCAGAGUGCUCCCUAUUGGCUCCACAUCUGAGAGGUCCCUGCAUCCUGCUUAGCCCAGAAAGCUGGAUGUAUGGGAUAUAUUGUGCUCAAGAAGCAGCACACCCCCACCCUGCUAUUUUCAGAUGUGACGAAGGCUAAAAAUCUGAUCAUGUGAAGUGGAUGGGCCCUGUUUAGGGACUUUUCUGCACAGACAUGGGGACAGCCACAAACUGGGGCUGCCCAAAGACUGCUGCCACCCUCUGCAAAAUUACACCAUGGUUUGUGUCGUAGAUGUAUGAUUUAUCUUGCGUGGUAGACCUGACCAUAAACAGCAGAAUUGUUUCAGCUGCUUUGAAUGUACGCUUAAUUUUGCUUCUUGUAAUAUCACUGAGCAGGAGUGACUGUUCAGUAAGAGCAGGGGAUCAUCAGCAGGCCAGAAGAUGAUGAUACUUAGAGGAAAACAUGACCAGCCCCUCAACAAAAAAUGGUACCUGCCAUGCCUCAGAUUAAAUAUAGGUUGCAAACAAUUCAAAGCAAAAUGUCAAAGCAGCAAGCUCACAUUUCCCAAAGAGCGCUGAAAGAUGAUGAUGAGAGGUUUAUCUCAUCAGUUCAGAGGAUGUUACACUUGUGACCAUGUGUAUUGGGGUGAAGAUUCCCCAAAACAGACCCUCUGAAGACUGAUUUGUGCUAUUUGUCUGUAUACACAGGAUGCUGAAAAAGCGCUUAAAGCCUUCCCUCCCUUACUUUCAUCUCUCCCUCCUCAGUGACCUUAUUCGAACCUAAUACUUUUCUCCAGACUUGUAAUGACAGACAUUUUUAAUAUGCUUCUGUUGAAUUAAUAAAAAGAUUUUAAAAAUCCCUCUUCUGCAGCUACAAGAUUUGUUUUAUAGCUGUAACUAACA